rnacentral:rRNA from 1 species
UACGAAGGGUGCUAGCGUUGUUCGGAAUUACUGGGCGUAAAGCGCGCGUAGGCGGCUUGUCAAGUCAGGGGUGAAAUCCUGGGGCUUAACCCCAGAAUUGCCUUUGAAACUGUCAAGCUGGAGUGUCGGAGGGGAUAGCGGAAUUGCUAAUGUAGAGGUGAAAUUCGUAGAUAUUGGGAAGAACACCGGUGGCGAAGGCGGCUCUCUGGACCGAUACUGACGCUGAGGCGCGAAAGCGUGGGGAGCAAACAGG